rnacentral:other from 1 species
GUUACACUGCUACGUUGGUGACUGCCAAUAUAGUUUGUUGAUCUAUGUUUGACUUAUGAGGGAGCUUACAGAUUGACAGCAGAAGUAGACCGAGCUUGUACUCGGAAAUGGAUGCAGACAGCGUGAGUACCCACCUGGUUUUCCCAGGUCAUAAGCUGAGGUAAGACGGCGUAGCGGUUAACUA